GGCUCAGAUUGAACGCUGGCGGCAGGCUUAACACAUGGCAAGUCGAGCGGUAGCAGGCCGUUCGGGUGCUGACGAGCGGCGAACGGGUGAGUAACGCGUAGGAAUCUGCCUGAUAGAGGGGGAUAGCCCGGGGAAACUCGGAUUAAUACCGCAUACGCCCUACGGGGGAAAGCAGGGGAUCUUCGGACCUUGCGCUAUCAGAUGAGCCUGCGUCGGAUUAGCUAGUUGGUAGGGUAAAGGCCUACCAAGGCGACGAUCCGUAACUGGUCUGAGAGGAUGAUCAGUCACACUGGAACUGAGACACGGUCCAGACUCCUACGGGAGGCAGCAGUGGGGAAUAUUGGACAAUGGGGGAAACCCUGAUCCAGCCAUGCCGCGUGUGUGAAGAAGGCCUUCGGGUUGUAAAGCACUUUAAGCAGGGAGGAAAGAGUGAUGGCUAAUAUCCAUUAUUUUUGACGCUACCUGCAGAAUAAGCACCGGCUAACUUCGUG
rnacentral:rRNA from 1 species